GAUGAACGCUGGCGGCGUGCCUAAUACAUGCAAGUCGAGCGAACAGACGAGGAGCUUGCUCCUCUGACGUUAGCGGCGGACGGGUGAGUAACACGUGGAUAACCUACCUAUAAGACUGGGAUAACUUCGGGAAACCGGAGCUAAUACCGGAUAAUAUAUUGAACCGCAUGGUUCAAUAGUGAAAGACGGUUUUGCUGUCACUUAUAGAUGGAUCCGCGCCGCAUUAGCUAGUUGGUAAGGUAACGGCUUACCAAGGCAACGAUGCGUAGCCGACCUGAGAGGGGGAUCGGCCACACUGGAACUGAGACACGGUCCAGGCUCCACGGGAGGCAGCAGUAGGGAAUCUUCCGCAAUGGGCGAAAGCCUGACGGAGCAACGCCGCGUGAGUGAUGAAGGUCUUCGGAUCGUAAAACUCUGUUAUUAGGGAAGAACAAAUGUGUAAGUAACUAUGCACGUCUUGACGGUACCUAAUCAGAAAGCCACGGCUAACUACGUG
rnacentral:rRNA from 1 species